CGGUGCCGUCCGUCUGGUCUGUCUCUCUCUGUUUUCGCAUCUCAACCUCUCCUCUCACAGCCUUGAGCCACCCGUCUCCCUCCGCUUUCCCCUCUUCCUCUCAGCUCGAAGCUUGUCCGCUCUCCUCUCUAAUCUCAUAUGCUAAACUCGAUUCGUUUCAAAUCUCAUAUGCUAAACUCGAUUUGGGCAGGAACGACCUCAAGCUCAUAGCAAUUUCGAUUUGUGCUAUGAGAAUGUGUACUCUACCUUUCCUCUUCAGGUCCAUCGAACUGACAUCACACCAUGGUGGAUUCAAGAUAUUUGGCAGCAGCUCGUAGAUGCUGUUCAGCAUGAAGGCUAUACUGGAGUGAGAACCUUCGGGGUGCGAACCUUCGGGAUGAGAUGAGAUGAGGGAAUGUUUAUCUAGAGAAGUUUUCUGAGGAUGUGAUAGUACCAAGAGGUGGUAUCAAGAUUUGGGUACCUGUGGAGAAUCGGACUCCAUGUAGUUAGGCUCGUCAGCCAUUGGCGUGAUCACCUGAGAUGCCCCCAUGUGGUCGGCACUGAUCUCGUCAGGCAUGGAGAGAAUUGGCUGAGAUGUAAUUGUUGUGUAGAUUGAGAUACAAUUGGCUGAGAUGCAAUUGUUAUGUAGAUUGAGACAAACGAGAAGAAUACUAAUCUAGUUACCCUUCCGUAUUAGAUGCUAAUCUGAUGGAACCACCUAUCGAAAUUGGCGCCA